CGUGGGGGAUAACGUAGGGAAACUUACGCUAAUACCGCAUACGUCCUACGGGAGAGCAGGGGACCUUCGGGCCUUGCGCGGUCAGACGGACCGAUGUUCGAUUAGCUAGUUGGAGGUAAUGGCUCACCAAGGCGACGAUCGAUAGCUGGUCUGAGAGGAUGAUCAGCCACAGGAACUGAGACACGGUCCAGACUCCUACGGGAGGCAGCAGUGGGGAAUAUUGGACAAUGCGCAAGCCUGAUCCAGCAAUGCCGCGUGUGUGAAGAAGGCCUUCGGGUUGUAAAGCAUUUAUCGGGAGCGAAAUACCAUCGGUUAAUACCCGGUGGGGCUGACGGUACCCGAGGAAAGCACCGGCUAACUUCGUGCCAGCAGCCGCGGUAAUACGAAGGGUGCAAGCGUUAAUGAAUUACUGGGCGUAAAGGGUGCGUAGGCGGUUAGUUAAGUCUGUCGUGAAAUCCCCGCUCAACCUGGGAAUGGCGAUGGAUACUGGCUGGCUAGAGUGUGUCAGAGGAUGGUGGAUUCCGGUGUAGCGGUGAAAUGCGUAAAGAUCGGAAGGAACAUCAGUGGCGAAGGCGGCUCUGGGACAACACUGACGCUGAAGCACGAAAGCGUGGGGAGCAAACAGGAUUAGAUACUGGUAGUCCACGCCCUAAACGAUGCGAACUGGAUGUUGGUCUCAACUCGGAGAUCAGU
rnacentral:rRNA from 1 species